UACCUGCAGCUCAAGUGGUGACCACUAUUAUUGGGCCUAAAACGUUCGUAGCCGGUUUGGUAAAUGCCUGGGUAAAUCGUGUAGCUUAACUAUACGAAUUCCGGGUAGACUGUCAAACUUGAGACCGGGAGAAGCUAGAGGUACUCCUGGGGUAGAGGUGAAAUUCUGUAAUCCUGGGGGGACCACCAGUGGCGAAGGCGUCUAGCUAGAACGGGUUUAACGGUGAGGAACGAAGCCCUGGGGCGCAAACCGGAUUAGAUACCCGGGUAGUCCAGGGUGUAAACGCUGCUUGCUUGAUGUUAGUUGGGCUCCGAGCCCAAUUAGUGUCGGAGAGAAGUUGUUAAGCAAGCUGCCUGGGAAGUACGAUCGCAAGAUUGAAACUUAAAGGAAUUGGCGGGGGAGCACAGCAACGGGUGGAGCGUGCGGUUU
rnacentral:rRNA from 1 species